rnacentral:snoRNA from 1 species
UCUGUCCAUGAUGAUUUAAUUUAUCUAACUUGAGUUUAACGACCAUGAGAAAACUCACAUGCACUACCAUCUGAGACGGG